rnacentral:rRNA from 3 species
UGAGAGUCCUGAAGGAACGUUGAAGACGACGACGUUGAUAGGCCGGGUGUGUAAGCGCAGCGAUGCGUUGAGCUAACCGGUACUAAUGAACCGUGAGGCUUAACCUUACAACGCCGAAGCUGUU